GUUUAGUAGCCUUGAAAAAUAUGCACAGGAUAUUUUAGCCCCGGAAGGGAAACUUUGCAUAUCUUAAAAGUCAAACAAAAGUACAAUUCUCGUAAAUGUCUGCCUGGAAGAGACUUCAAGACACCUGUGAGUGGAAGGAAAGUCAGCUUUAUUGAGGUAUAACUGGUGUAUACAAUUGACUUGAAGUUUCUUGACACCAUCUUCUCUUAUACCCCUGUGCCUGCUAUUCCUGCCUGACUCGAUUCGGAUGCUGUCCAUGUAGCCCAGGUUUCUUGGUCCUUCCUGUGCUGAUGGGAAAUAGCAGAGAGAAGAGAGUAAUGAUUUCUCAGGCUAAGUUACUGCAUUUUAGUCCCAGCCACCCUUUCUAUGAAGCAGCAUCAAUUACAAGAGACAUCAGCAUAACAUCAACAAGCAGCAAAAUUCCGUCCACCGUUACUGCUCUCUUUGAGAGUGCUUCGGAUUAAAAAAAAUGGAACAGUAGUAGUGAUAUUUUUGAGAUGAAUGGUCAACGUGCUUGCAGUCUAUCGAUCAAACUUCAUUUAACUUUAAAGAAGUUUGCUAGAAGUGU
rnacentral:lncRNA from 1 species